GCCAGUCAGUCUUGCAGGAGGCUGGACCAAGCACUGUAUAAAAGUCCUACCAGCCUGGGCUCCUCCAUCCACAUCCUUUGUAGAAGCUUCUAGAAGAUCAGGUCCUGCCAAUCAUCCUAGGAUGUCCUUCAAUGAGCAGCAGUGCAAACAGCCAUGUGUGCCUCCUCCAUGUCUUCAAAAGACCCAAGAGCAGUGCCAGGCAAAGGCUGAGGAGGUGUGCCUCCCCCCAUGCCAGGACCCCUGCCAAGAGAAGUGCCCAACGAAAGUUCAAGAGAGAUGGAUUUGUGACUGUGUGGUGCAGGCUGCUGUCCUCCAGAUUCUUUGCCUUCUUCUCCCUGGUGAAGGUAAAAUGCAGAAUAAAGCUGAUUGUAAAACAUUCCUG
rnacentral:lncRNA from 1 species